GAUCGGAGCGAAACUCAGCCACAUGGGGAACACGGAGGUUACAGAUGACAGAAAGACAGCUCCAGAAGGACAAAAGAGGCUCAGGAGACCAUCAAAACUAAAGAAGAGAUACAAGACAUUCAAUUCUAACUGGGGGACCAGGGAGAAAUGCUGCAUUUUAAAUGAAGGGGAGGGGGAAAAAUCAUUUUGGAG